rnacentral:antisense_RNA from 1 species
AGUCAUGAUUACUAUUCCUGUAAAUAGUAGUUGUGAUUAGCGGCCGGGUAUGUUGCAGCACAUCCGCGCCGCGCU